CUUGUGACUGUGCAUGUGACUUCUGCUUGUGACUUGUGUGCCUGUCUGCCUUUAACUGUGUGUUUAGCUCUGUGACUGUCUGCCUGUAACUGAGCAUGUGUGACGGUCUGCCUGUAACUGUGUGUGUGUGUGUGUGACUGUCUGCCUGUAACUGAGCGUGUCUGACUGUCUGCUUGUAACUUUUUGUGUGACUGUCUGCUUGUACCUGUGUGUGUGACUGUAUACAGGCAACUUGGCGGGGGGAGGGGGGACGCCGUGAAGACUUUUUGCGCCUAAGGCUGGCCCUGGGU